UCUCCUGAGGUGGAAACCCAAGCUGAGAAAGAUGAUGACUCAUCUAGAACAGUAAAGGAUGUAGCUGCUGAGGGACUAUGUUCUCUUGGAAAAAACUUACCUAGCAUGUCCCCUGAUACUGCUCAGGAUAUUAAGGAAGAAAGGUCUGAGGAAGAAGAUGACACGUUGGUAAAUCUUGUCAAAACAAGUGUAGCUAACAAACUAAGAAAGAGGAAGAGUAUGACUGAG
rnacentral:lncRNA from 1 species